UACGUAGGGGGCAAGCGUUGUCCGGAAUUAUUGGGCGUAAAGAGCUCGUAGGCGGUUUGUCGCGUCUGCUGUGAAAACUCGGGGCUUAACUCCGGGCCUGCAGUGGGUACGGGCAGACUAGAGUGCGGUAGGGGAGACUGGAAUUCCUGGUGUAGCGGUGAAAUGCGCAGAUAUCAGGAGGAACACCGGUGGCGAAGGCGGGUCUCUGGGCCGUAACUGACGCUGAGGAGCGAAAGCGUGGGGAGCGAACAGG
rnacentral:rRNA from 1 species